UCCCGCCCUUCCAAAUCUGCCCCUUUUACAACUAACCCCUCAGAAGAAGAAGCUCCCAUUUCCAGGCCUUCCAUCUCCAAAACCCCACCCUCUCCAUCUCAGAUCCAACGGUCCAGAUUCCCCCAAAGGGAGGAAGAAGGAGGAGGAAGAAGACAUGCACAUCAAAGAGGUCUGCUUGGAGGGAUUCAAGUCCUACGCCACACGUACGGUGGUCCCGGGCUUCGAUCCCUACUUCAACGCCAUCACGGGAUUGAACGGCUCUGGUAAGUCCAACAUCCUCGAUUCCAUCUGCUUCGUCCUCGGCAUCACGAACUUGCAGCAGGUUCGUGCCGCAAAUCUCCAGGAGCUGGUCUACAAGCAGGGCCAGGCCGGCAUCACCAAAGCGACGGUCUCGAUCGUCUUCGACAAUUCCGAUCGGAACCGCAGCCCGCUUGGGUACGAAGAUUGCCAGGAGAUCACUGUAACCAGACAGAUUGUGGUUGGUGGAAGGAACAAGUACCUCAUCAAUGGGCACCUUGCUCAGCCAUCUCGAGUCCAGACUCUUUUUCAUUCUGUGCAGCUUAAUGUCAACAACCCACAUUUUCUCAUUAUGCAAGGGAGGAUCACAAAGGUUUUAAACAUGAAACCCCCUGAAAUCUUGUCCAUGCUCGAAGAGGCUGCUGGGACAAGAAUGUACGAAACAAAGAAAGAGGCGGCUUUGAAGACACUAGAGAAGAAACAGAGCAAGGUAGAUGAGAUUGACAAACUUCUUGAUCAGGAAAUACUUCCUGCCUUGGAGAAGCUGAGGAAAGAGAGGGUGCACUAUAUGCAGUGGGCCAAUGGUAACACAGAAUUAGAUCGACUUAGAAGGUUCUGCAUAGCUUAUGAGUAUGUUCAGGCAGAGAAGAUAAGAGAUAAUGCAGUUAGUGUAGUGGGACAAAUUAAGGCCAAUAUUUCCGAGCUUGAUGGUAAUACAGAAAGAAUGCAGGUGGAAAUACAGGAGAUGGAGACAAAGAUAUCAACCUUGACUGCUGAGAAAGAAGCAAAAUUGGGCGGGGAGGUAAAAACCUUGUCAGAGAAGGUAGAUUCACUUUCUCGUGAUCUUGUGAAAGAGACAUCCGUACUGAGUAAUCAAAAGGAGUCUCUGAGGGCUGAGAAAAAGGCUGCUGAAAAGAUUGUUAGAAGUAUCGAAGACAUAAAAAGGUCAAUUGGAGAGGGGGAUGCUGCUGUUAAAAAAGCUGAAGAUGGAGCAGCUGAUCUAAAAAAGAGAGUUGAAGAUCUUUCUAAGAACUUGAAAGAGUCUGAAAAAGAAUAUCAGGGUGUGUUGGCUGGUAAGAGCAGUGGGGAUGAGGAUAAAUGCCUUGAAGAUCAACUACGCGAUGCCAAGGCUGCUGUUGGGAAUGCUGAGACAGAAUUGAAACAAUUGGAAACAAAAAUAAGUCAUUCUGAGAAAGAGUUCAAAGAGAAAAAGGAACAGUUGAUUUCCAAACGUGAUGAAGCUGUUGCUGUGGAGAAUGAGCUUAAUGUUAGGAGGAAAGAUGUGGACAACGUUAAGGUGGCCCUUGAAUCUCUUGCAUAUGAAGAGGGCCGGAUGGAAACUUUGCAAAAGGAUCGGUUGGCGGAAUUAGAGCUGGUGCAGAAGUUCAAGGAUGAAGUUAGAGAUCUUUCAGCAGUGUUAGCAAAUGUUCAGUUCACAUAUCGUGAUCCUGUGAAGAAUUUCGACAAGUCAAAGGUGAAAGGUGUGGUUGCAAAGCUCAUUAAAGUCAAGGAUAGCUCAACAACAACUGCCUUGGAGGUUGCAGCUGGAAGAAAGCUAUAUAAUGUGGUUGUAGACACAGAAAAUACUGGAAAGCAACUUCUUCAAAAUGGCAAUCUUCAGAGAAGAGUGACUAUUAUACCUCUAAACAAGAUCCAAUCCCAUGCUGUUCCCAAAAGGAUUCAAGAUGCUGCUGGGCGAAUGGUUGGUGAGGAAAAUGCGAAAUUGGCACUUUCUUUGGUUGGGUAUGAUGAGGAUGUGAAGGCUGCAAUGGCUUAUGUGUUUGGAUCAACAUUUGUUUGUAGCGGUAUUGAUGUUGCAAAGGAGGUUGCCUUUAAUAGGGACAUCCGCACCCCUAGCGUAACUCUCGAAGGUGAUAUUUUUGAUCCAAGUGGCCUUCUAACUGGUGGUAGUCGCAAAGACGGUGGGAGAUUGUUAAAACAACUCCAUGAGUUGGCAGAGGCUGAGUCAAUGCUUUGCAUUCAUCAGAAGAGGUUGUCAGAAAUUGAGGAAAAGAUUGCACAGCUUCUACCUCUUCAAAAGAAGUUCAUGCAUCUUAAAUCACAGUUGGAACUUAAAGAAUAUGAUCUUUCUCUCUUUCAGGGUAGAGCUGAGCAAAACGAACACCAUAAGCUAGGUGAACUUGUCAAGAAGAUUGAGAAGGAGCUUAACGAAGCAAAGCUGGAAGCAAAAGAAAAGCGACUUCUGUAUAAAAACUGUGUAUCUACUGUUUCAUCUCUUGAAAAAUCUAUCAAAGAACAUGGUAAACAACGUGAGACCAGGCUCAAAGAUUUAGAUAAGAAGAUCAAGACAUUAAAAGACCAAAUGCAGUCAGCUUCAAAAGAUCUCAAGGGACAUGAAAAUGAAAGAGAGAGGCUCAUUAUGGAGAAGGAAGCAGUCAUUCAAGAGCAUGCUUCCCUGGAAAAUCAAUUGGUUUCUUUACAGACACAGAUAAAUAGCCUCACUGCAGAAGUAGAUAACCUUACAAGCAAGGUUAGUUCCAUAAAGAAGGAAUAUGAUCAAGCCCAAUCUGAGCUCAAUUUGAGUCGUUCAAAGAUGAAAGAAUGUGACGCUGAGAUUAGUGCCAUCGUCAAGGAGCAACAGAAGCUUCAACAUAAAAUUAGUGAUGCAAUUGUCGAGAGGAAAAAAUUGGAAAAUGAGAUUAAACGAAUGGAGAUGGAACAGAAAGAUUGCUCCCUGAAGGUAGAUAAACUACUAGAAAGGCAUAGUUGGAUUGCAGCUGAGAAACAAUUAUUUGGAAAAAGUGGGACAGAUUAUGACUUCUCAUCUCGUGAUCCUCAUAAAUCAAGGGAGGAGCUUGAGAAACUUCAAGCUGAACAAUCUGGCCUUGAGAAGCGGGUCAACAAAAAAGUUAUGGCAAUGUUCGAGAAAGCCGAAGAUGAAUACAAUGACUUAUUAUCCAAGAAAAACAUCAUUGAGAAUGAUAAGUCAAAAAUCAAGAAGGUAAUUGAAGAGCUUGAUGAAAAGAAGAAGGAAACACUAAAAGUUACUUGGGUUAAAGUGAACAAAGACUUUGGAUCCAUCUUUUCUACCCUUUUACCAGGCACAAUGGCUAAGCUUGAACCGCCUGAAGGAGGUAGUUUCUUAGAUGGUCUUGAGGUACGUGUUGCAUUUGGAAGUGUGUGGAAGCAGUCUUUGUCAGAGCUUAGUGGAGGGCAACGGUCUCUUCUUGCACUUUCUCUCAUUUUAGCUCUGCUUCUCUUCAAACCAGCACCUUUGUAUAUUCUAGAUGAGGUGGAUGCGGCUCUUGAUUUGAGCCAUACACAAAACAUAGGAAGAAUGAUCAAAACGCACUUUCCACAUUCCCAGUUCAUCGUGGUUUCUCUGAAAGAAGGGAUGUUCAACAAUGCCAAUGUCCUCUUCCGGACUAAAUUCGUUGAUGGGGUUUCCACAGUUCAGAGAACUGUUGCUUCGAGACAGAAAAAGUGAACCUCUCUAACAAUCAGUGGGCGGUUCUAACUGUUGACUAUUUUUCAUUUCCCCUGUCCAUCAAAUAUCGACCAAGAAGCAGAUUGGGUGAGCUCUUUGUCACCCCCCUUCAUUGCAGAAAUACAGACAGUUGUAUUUUCUCACCUUCUGUUAUCCAUGACAAGUAUUUUUGUAAUGUUCUGACGCAACAUAUGCUGUAUGUAUAAGUUGGGUUCUUCCCAACCGUUUUUGAUUUUUUUGUUUGCCCUUUUUUCUA